AUGUAUAAUGUACAGGAAAAGAUUAAGGGUGUGAGCAGAGGAGAGCAGGUGGAGCAGCGCCCGUCUCACCUGAGUGUCCGGGAGGGAGACAGUGCCGCUAUCGUCUGCACCUACACAGACAGCUCUUCCUCUUAUUUCUGCUGGUACAAGCACGAGCCCGGAGCAGGUCUCCAGUUGCUUAUGGAGAUUUUCUCAAGUACAGAAGUAAAAGAAGGACAAGGAUUCAUUGUCCUACUGAACAAGAAAGACAAACAGCUCUCGCUGAACAUCACAGCUGCACAUCUUGGGGACUCUGCCACAUACUUCUGUGCAGUCAGUGCACAGUGCUCCUCAGGCACGUCCUGUCUGUACAUAAACCUGGGAUCAGGGCCAGAGACAGAUGCAUUUUCCUCUGCUGAGACCAGGAGCUUCCUGUAUUUUAUGCUUAGGAAACAGAUGUUCUAA